rnacentral:misc_RNA from 1 species
GAUGAAGAACGUAGCGAAAUGCGAUACGUAAUGUGAAUUGCAAAUUCAGUGAAUCAUCGAGUCUUUGAACGCACAUUGCGCCCCCUGGUAUUCCGGGGGGCAUGCCUGUCCGAGCGUCAUUGCUGCCCUCUAGCACGGCUUGUGUGUUGGGCCCCGUCCUCCGAUCCCGGGGGACGGGCCCGAAAGGCAGCGGCGGCACCGCGUCCGGUCCUCGAGCGUAUGGGGCUUUGUCACCCGCUCUGUAGGCCCGGCCGGCGCUUGCCGAUCAACCCAAAUUUUUUAUCCAGGUUGACCUCGGAUCAGGUAGGGAUACCCGCUGAACUUAAGCAUAUCAAUAAGCGGAGGA